GGAGAGGUGCCAGAGCGGCCGAUUGGGGCGGUCUCGAAAACCGUUGUACCUUCGCGGGUACCGAGGGUUCGAAUCCCUCCCUCUCCG
rnacentral:tRNA from 1 species